CAAGGUCAGCAGAUAUCGUAUUGGUAUGGUAAUCCGCCGGGUUUUGGCCAAUGAAAAACAUUGAAAACGUCUGGUGACCCGAGACAAUACGACAAUACGACAAUACGUGCUACAACAUUGGAUUGAUUACUCCGCACACAACCCCUCAAUUCAAGGUUCAUAACACAACAACCACCCUCCUCUUUAGGCAUAUUCAGGGUCACCUGAAUAAACCCUUCAGCAUAAAUUACUUGAUUCUCUUGAUGUCAUUAUUCCAAUCUGGUUAUAACUUGAUGAUCGCCUCAAGGAGGGUAGAUUAUGUGUUACAUAGUACAGUUUGCUAUCACCUGAUAGCACCUUGCUCCGAGUCAUCUCAAGGUGCACAAGGCCAGUACCUAUACGAGACGAUACAGUGUCUCUCUCUGCGUAUUACAUCACUAUGUACAUUGACUCAUGGAAGUACUCCAUAGGCGCCAUCGAACGUAAACGAUGCACAGACAGAUCAAGCUCAUAGGUGGGACUUCAUAAACAAAACAAACCAGACUCCAACCCACUUUUCGGCUUUGAUCCCAUCUUCAAUCCGAUCUGACCAUGAGUUUAUUAACGUCUGAAAUGUGACUGGCUGCGUGGUGAUUAGGGUUGGCAUUAGUGCUGUCUAAGAUUAGAAACCGGCGGCUAUUCUGUGUCUCUGGCUGGUCUGUCACGGCUUGCCGAUGUCGUUGACCUACAUCAUCUAUAAACAGAUCUGAAGACCCUUCAAGUUCGUUUGACGUGUUUUAUUUUUGUUUUGUUUCAAUUUCUAGACUGACAUUGACUGCAUAGGCGCCAUCUGAGACUGGCGCCAUUGACGGUCUUAUUGGUUGACAUCUCGUUUGAGGUUGUUACUAGGGUUAUUAAUAGGUCUUGCUGCAUGUGAAGAUUGCUAGCUGUCCUAUUUAUAUGAUAGAGCAUCUGGACUGUGGACUCUGCAUGUGCUUGUACCAUACUGCUGGGUUGGUCUAAUUUUAACAUAUUGCUGCAGAAUUGGUGUGAAGAAUACUCACUGCCCGGGUGUUUGUUACAUAUGUGAGCUGAGAUAUACUGCCAAAUCUUCAUACCACAGACCCAUGGCAUCAAAUAAUAUGGCAAUAAAAUCUACCGACAAUCUUUCAUAUUAAUAUCUCACCAUACAUAGACACUCGCCCUUCAUCAUAAAAGAUCAUUAACUUGAAAUCGACAGCAUUCAUACACCUCCUUCCAAUCCUGACUCGUCCCUAGUAGCAAUGCGAACGAAGUAGCCAAUCAAACAUAAAUUACAGCGUGCAACAAAUUGAUUGACCCUACUCUGUCUGAUUACAUAUAUUAUAUACUACUCCGUUCCUACUGAAAGAGGAAACUUUCCCGACGGCGUUGAUCCGACAGGUCCUCUUCCUUUAUUCGUGGAAGCCGGCCAACGUUUUAUUACGGGACAAGGAUAAAGAGACGGUUGUCGCAGAUUAUAAUUCUGAAGAUUGACGUAUUUCCGUCAUGACAGUUCUCGUCUGCCCCGAGUACUACGUAUGUCUCUUGUCAAUUCAGGCUUGUUCCAGACUACGGAGUUAGCUCCUGUGGCAUUGGCAUGAGGAACACCGAACAUGCACGGAAAGAAGGAAUAUUUACCCCUGAGUCCCUGGAAAUCAAUCCUUGAUCCUCCCACAAACACUAGUUAACUAACUCAGUCAUGGCCGUUAUGCCUACUAUGUAAUAAUUGACAAUAAUCAAUCAAUUAACUUAAUUAAGUUAUUAUAGGCACGCAAAGCCAACGGCUAGGUCACAUCGAGCUCCCGAAUCACUGGUAUCGGUGAAUUAUCCAGAAGAGGAUGGUGAUCGAUGAUGGCUCCCUGCCUACGUCCGAGACAAGAUGAUUCAUUUUACUUCACAUGGAGAUAUGUCGGGACUAACAGAGAUGUCCAAUGUCCAAGCGUCUGACUAUCACGAUGGUCUCAAAGAACCAAUAAUGGAAGAAGAAUCUCAUCGGAGUCGGCGUGCUGCCGGCUUGGCAAUGAUUCAUCCUCCUCUUGAUUCAUUCGAAGUGAGGCGAUUUGAUUUCAUGCACGUACCCAAGAAGAUGUUCGUAUAUGGAAAUGUUCCAGAUUCUAGAAUCUAGAAUCAGGUUUGUUUUUCGAUGGUCUCAGACGAUAUGGAGUAAGCCACUUGGAGAUUUCUGAUCAUCUACUACAUAAGCUACGUAGUACACAUUUAUCUUACGAUACAAUAGUACGGAGCAGUCUGUAUUGCUACGUACAGAGUUGAGUUUUGCGAGAUUAACAGGGUGGUGCCAAGUAAGCUUGAUGUCACAAGCGUGAGCAAAAGAUAAGUUACUCAAGUAACAACACUUCUCUCAUUUAACAUGUACUUAUGAUAACUUCAUACCCUUAAGGUAAUCUAAUCUAUCCUGGAUUGUUCGUAAUAUUCCAGAACACUCCAAAGAAGUUCUGUUCUUCUUCCGGCCGCACUUGUACCGGUUCGUCAGGUACUCCGGAUUCGCCAUCUAACCCAGGGUUUGC
rnacentral:lncRNA from 1 species